AUAUCCCCUUCAAUUAAAAUGGAGAUGGUUACAUUCCCGUGACCAUUUAAAGCAUCCACGGGACAGGCUUUGAAGCUCAACAAACAAAGGGUCCUUGCUUGCUACUUUCCACUAACCACCACAUUUAAUGUAUUCAGAUAGACUAGCAAGCAAAUUCAUUGUACCCGAAAAAAAAAAAUGACCCUUUGGCCUCAAGCAACCAAGCUAUCUCCUCCACUUCUUGCCUAUAAAAUUCGAUGCUACAUACAGUUUGUUUGUCCUUAUCACAUGAACAAAACUGCUAUCAAUUAGAAAACAAAGCUGAGAGAGAAUCAUGGAUGCACCGGCACAGCAAGAGAUGUCAUAUAUGGAACAUGUCAAAAAACGCCAUGAGGAGAAAGGCUGCCUCUUUGCACUGUCUGUAUUGAUUUUCGGCUUUCUUCCCCCCCCCCCAAUAUUAUGUUAAUUUUUGGUCUGAUGAUACUUUUGCUUUUGAUUGUUCUUGCGUUUUUUGUGGCGGUAUUAUUGUGCAUUUACUUGUUCUGUUUUGAUACACAGGCUGUUUGCACUUUGCUGCUGCUGCUGUUGCUAUGAGUCCUGUGAAUGCUGUCUGGACUGCUGUUGCUGCACCUCCUAGUUCAUUUUAUUGGUUCAUACUGGACUAUAAUCUAAAGGGUUGUACAAUAUUACCAAAAUCUUUUCGGGGUUGUACUUUUUUGUAUGAGUUAAACUAAAGUGGAAUUUGUUUUGUGAGUAUAUUCAAUCUUUUAUUUUAGUAAAAAGUUGUCUUUGUUCCUUAUA
rnacentral:lncRNA from 1 species